ensembl:lncRNA
GGCGUUUCCGGUCGGUGUGAGGCCGCACGAGCCAGGACUAUAAUCUGUACGCGGUGAUAGCGCUCGCUGCAUAAAUUCUGUUAAGUGCAGAGGAAGCUUGGGAUGAGGGUAGUGAUGAUCGCUUUUAAAGAAGUGCGGUAACGGGGAAUGGCUCAUCGGUUAAGAGCAGUGGCUGCUCGUCUGGAGGCCCUGAAUUCAAUUCCCAGUAACUACAUGGUGGCUCACAGCCAUCUCCAACUGUAGUCCCAUAGGAAUCUGAUGCCCUCUUCUGGUUUGUACAUGUAUUUGCAGACAUAUGCAUAAAUAAAUGGAAAAAAGAAAGUGGCAUCCCCUAAUGGGAUGUGUAUGUGUGGAAGAAACGCCAGAUUCAGUGAGGACAUUGUUCGAUAAUAGAAUUGGGAACUGAGAGUUUGAUCAGUCACUGAAAAAACACUGGGAUCAUUCGAAGGAGUAGACCUGGAGAGACGACCACACGUUUUGUAUUCUUAAAGAUAUAAAUUAAGGUAGCUCUUGGCCACCAGCCUGGAACAGUUGAGGGUCUCUGCCAUCCUGUGUGGUGGGGGUAGGGGCAGCAAUGACCACCCACUUCGCCAGAUCUGAAUCCUUCCCUGGUUCCCAUUCUGAGGAACGCUUCCUGUUUCUGCCCAAGCUGGAAGAGAAGUGCUAACCUCUGAUGGUCAUAAAGUUGAGAAUCCAGAUGCUACCCUCACAUGACAAAAAGACAUCCCACCUGGCCUA